UACGUAGGGUGCGAGCGUUAAUCGGAAUUACUGGGCGUAAAGCGUGCGCAGGCGGUUUUGUAAGCCAGAUGUGAAAUCCCCGGGCUCAACCUGGGAAUGGCAUUUGGGACUGCAAGGCUGGAGUGUGGCAGAGGAGACUGGAAUUCCCGGUGUAGCAGUGAAAUGCGUAGAUAUCGGGAGGAAUACCGAUGGCGAAGGCAGGUCUCUGGGCUGACACUGACGCUCAUGCACGAAAGCGUGGGGAGCAAACAGGAUUAGAUACCCUGGUAGUCCACGCCCUAAACGAUGUCGACUGGUUGUUGGGGGUUUGACACUCUCAGUAACGAAGCUAACGCGUGAAGUCGACCGCCUGGGGAGUACGGCCGCAAGGUUA
rnacentral:rRNA from 1 species